UGCCAGCCGCCGCGGUAACACGGGGGGCGCAAGCGUUAUUCGGAAUUAUUGGGCGUAAAGGGCGCGCAGGCGGUCUUGUCCGUCAGGUGUGAAAGCUCGGGGCUCAACCCCGGAAGUGCACUUGAAACAGCAAGACUUGAAUACUGGAGAGGAGAGCGGAAUUCCUGGUGUAGAGGUGAAAUUCGUAGAUAUCAGGAGGAACACCGAUGGCGAAGGCAGCUCUCUGGACAGAUAUUGACGCUGAGGCGCGAAGGCGUGGGUAGCGAACGGGAUUAGAUA
rnacentral:rRNA from 1 species